rnacentral:rRNA from 1 species
GGAAGGCAGCAGUGGGGAAUAUUGCACAAUGGGCGCAAGCCUGAUGCAGCUAUGUCGCGUGUAUGAAGAAGACCUUAGGGUUGUAAAGUACUUUCAAUAGCAUAAGAAGGUAAUGAAACUAAUAAUUUUGUUAUCAGACGUUAGCUAUAAAAGAAGCACCGGCUAACUCCGUGCCAGCAGCCGCGGUAAUACGGAGGGUGCUAGCGUUAAUCGGAAUUACUGGGCGUAAAGAGCACUUAGGUGGUUUAUUAAGUCAAGUGUGAAAUCCCUAGACUUAAUCUAGGAACUGCAUUUGAAACUAAUAGACUAGAGUUUCGUAGAGGGAGGUAGAAUUCUAGGUGUAGCGGUGAAAUGCAUAGAUAUCUAGAGGAAUAUCAGUGGCGAAGGCGACCUCCUGGACGAUAACUGACGCUAAAAUGCGAAAGCAUGGGUAGCAAACAGGAUUAGAUACCCUGGUAGUCCAUGCUGUAAACGAUGUCGACUAAGAAGUUGAAAGCUUUGACUUAUAAUUUCUGUAGCUAACGCGUUAAGUCGACCGCCUGGGGAGUACGGCCGCAAGGCUAAAACUCAAAUGAAUUGACGGGGGCCUGCACAAGCGGUGGAGCAUGUGGUUUAAUUCGAUGCAACGCGUAAAACCUUACCUGGUCUUGACAUCCACAGAAUUUUAUAGAAAUAUAAAAGUGCAAUUUGAACUGUGAGACAGGUGCUGCAUGGCUGUCGUCAGCUCGUGUUGUGAAAUGUUGGGUUAAGUCCCGCAACGAGCGCAACCCUUGUUUUUUGUUACCAUCAGAUUAAGCUGGGGACUCAAAAGAAACUGCCAGUUAUAAACUGGAGGAAGGUGGGGACGACGUCAAGUCAUCAUGGCCCUUACGACCAGGGCUACACACGUGCUACAAUGGCGUAUACAAAGAGAUGCAAUAUUGUAAAAUAAAGCUAAUCUAUAAAAUACGUCUUAGUUCGGACUGGAGUCUGCAACUCGACUCCACGAAGUCGGAAUCGCUAGUAAUCGUGGAUCAGCAUGCCACGGUGAAUAUGUUUCCAGGCCUUGUACACACCGCCCGUCACACCAUGGAAGUGGGUUGCAAAAGAAGUAGAUUAAUUUAACCUUCUUAACAAGAAAAUAGUUUACCACUUUGUG